rnacentral:rRNA from 1 species
AUUGAACGCUGGCGGCAGGCCUAACACAUGCAAGUCGAGCGGAUGAAGGGAGCUUGCUCCUGGAUUCAGUGGCGGACGGGUGUGUAAUGCCUAGGAAUCUGCCUGGUAGUGGGGGAUAACGUCCGGAAACGGGCGCUAAUAACGCAUACGUCCUGAGGGAGAAUGUGGGGGAUCUUCGGAACUCACGCUAUCAGAUGAGCCUAGGUCGGUUUAGCUAGUUGGUGGGGUAAAGGCCUACCAAGGCGACGAUCCGUAACUGGUCUGAGAGGAUGAUCAGUCACACUGGAACUGAGACACGGUCCAGACUCCUACGGUAGGCAGCAGUGGGGAAUAUUGGACAAAGGGCGAAAGCCUGAUCCAGCCAUGCCGCGUGUGUGAAGAAGGUCUUCCGAUUGUAAAGCACUGUAAGUUGGGAGGAAGGGCAGUAAGUUAAUACCUUGCUGUUUUGACGUUACCAACAGAAUAAGCACCGGCUAACUUCGUG